rnacentral:lncRNA from 1 species
AUAAAUCUCACAUAAGUUCAUGUCUUACAAAAGAUAGCAAACUAGAAGCAAACCAAGUUCGAAGCAAACCACGAAAGAAAGCAAAGCAAAACAAGUUCGACUAUGAAAGCAAAUCCAGCUCCUAGACUCUCUCCCCCUUUGGCACAAGACACCAAAAAGGGGUACACCUAACGCCACAGGUGGUUACUCCUCAUCCUCAGCAUCGCCAGACUCGUCGGUACCCUCCUGAUCGUCCUGCUCCUCCUCUGCCUCCUCAUCGCCAGACCACUGGUAACCUUGAGCCUGCAUCCAAGCAGCCUCUGGAGUGAUGUCGUCCUCUGAUCCGCUGGAGAUGUCCACAUCAAGAGUCC